UGGGGAAUAUUGGACAAUGGGCGAAAGCCUGAUCCAGCCAUGCCGCGUGUGUGAAGAAGGUCUUCGGAUUGUAAAGCACUUUGAGUUGGGAGGAAGGGCAGUAAGCGAAUACCUUGCUGUUUUGACGUUACCGACAGAAUAAGCACCGGCUAACUCUGUGCCAGCAGCCGCGGUAAUACAGAGGGUGCGAGCGUUAAUCGGAUUUACUGGGCGUAAAGCGUGCGUAGGCGGCUAAUUGAGUCGGAUGUGAAAUCCCCGAGCUUAACUUGGGAAUUGCAUUCGAUACUGGUUAGCUAGAGUGUGGGAGAGGAUGGUAGAAUUCCAGGUGUAGCGGUGAAAUGCGUAGAGAUCUGGAGGAAUACCGAUGGCGAAGGCAGCCAUCUGGCCUAACACUGACGCUGAGGUACGAAAGCAUGGGGAGCAAACAGG
rnacentral:rRNA from 1 species